CUGCCCUUCCCCCUGUCCCGGAGCGCCUGGCCGGGUCUCGAGCCGAACCGUUGGUACCGCCUCAGUUUCUUCCCUCAUUCCAUCGCUCCUUUGUCUCCUUUCCUUUUCCACCGCCAGGAAAGCGGUGGUGAGAGCUGGAGAAGUCUUUUAUCUAAAGACUUGGUGUCUGGGGGCAACAAGAGCGCUCCUUUGUGUGGGCUUAUCUCGGGGUGCUGCACAUGACUCUUAUCAGGCACCCAGAAUGUCACAGAGGCAGGAAAAAGGAGGAUAAAAGAGGGAUCAGCAACCACGAAGUGAGUUUUUCUGACGUCAGAUUCCUCCCGACCUGACACCUUCAUGUUGGAGAAGAUGCGUGUGUGCUGAAGAACAAGGCAGGUAUCUGCCUUCAGAUCCAUCGCUGCUGCCAAUGGACUCUGCUGGGUCUGCUGCAUGAGACCCUGCUCCUAUAAAUUGCAGUGAGACAGAUGGACCCCUGAGCAACAGAAAGUAUUUCUGAGCAUCAGCAGCUUCUGUGCAGCAAAGAGAUGCCAUGAGAUGGGAGAGAGCACGAGCAGGGAGAUGGAGAUGACCUUUGUGUAUAGAGGUUGAUUGAUUUAGCCUGGGCCCCAAACUAAUCGUGCAAAUGCAGGAAAAUGAUAUUAAAUUCAUCAGUGCGAUUUGCUAGUCCUGGACUGAAGGCAGCUUUCCUGCGUUACCUUCAAGUCUUGUAAAUCCCCGUGCAACCAUCGGUGCAAAAAAAUACAGCUUCAAAUGGGCCGUAAUCAUCCUGCAGGAACCUCUGUGCUAAAAGCUCGUGUCAGGGCAUGGGGAUGCUGGCAGCAGUAGAUGUCUUCUGCUUUCCACUCUGGCGUGGCCUGCUGAUCCAGUUCAAGCACUCGUCUGUCUGGCUGAUGUGUGAAUAACAAGGGAUGCUCUGCCGUGGAAGAUGCACCGUGUGGUCAAAGAGCUGAAGAGUCUCCAUAGAGCCCCAUUUGUGAAUUCUGCGC